GACGAACCGUGCGAACGUUGUUCGGAAUCACUGGGCUUAAAGGGCGCGUAGGCGGGCUGACAAGUCUGGGGUGAAAUGCCGCGGCUCAACCGUGGAACUGCCUCAGAUACUGUCGGCCUCGAGGAAGGUAGGGGCAUGCGGAACUGUAGGUGGAGCGGUGAAAUGCGUUGAUAUCUACAGGAACUCCGGUGGCGAAAGCGGCGUGCUGGACCUUUUCUGACACUGAGGCGCGAAAGCCAGGGGAGCAAACGGG
rnacentral:rRNA from 1 species